AUGAUCUUUCAAACGACUGAUGAAACUGAAAUUGAAGACACCUUCGGAAUCUGCCUCCUUGGAUAUUUUGCCGGAAAAUUUCCUGGGAAACAAGCUCUAGCAGCCAUCUGCGAUGCAUGGGAGGUCAAAUAUACCUACAAAAGCCACGAUAAUGGAUGGCUGAUUUUCACAUUCGACAAUGAGGCAGACAAGAACAAAGUACUAGAAGGAGGCCCCUACACGGUCUUUGAUAGGCAGCUUCAUAUGAAACCGAUGGCGAGGUACUUUAAUUUUGACCCGAACGAAAUGUGUAUUGUUCCGGUGUGGGUGAAAUUGCAUAACUGGCCCCCGAUCUACUGGAAUGAAGUUGCUCUAGGCAAAUUUGCUAGCAAACUGGGUACUCCGAUAUGUUCUGAUGCGCUGACUAAAGAAAAACUGAAAAUCUCGUAUGCUAGGCUCUUGGUGAAUGUGGAUGCUUCGAAACCUCUCAGAGAAGAGGUGAAAAUCGUCUAUCCAGAUGGAACGGCAACAAUGCAGAAAAUCGAGUAUGAAUACAAGCCCAAAUAUUGCUCCCACUGCAAAACUCUCGCGCAUAAUACGGCUAACUGCCCAAUUCUGUACCCCCCAGCUGAGCCUAAGGUGAUUCCGGUCAAGAAAGAUCCGAAGCCACCGGAACAAAUCUGGAAACAGAUUAUUCGAGGGAAAGCUACACCUGUUAAUACUCACACAUAUUUUGAGGAGCCGUCUCAAGAUGAUCUACAUGCAGAAUCCUUGAUCACAGCUUUUGUCGGGAACCAUGCAAAAGAACCGGACCCACCCUAUUAUGACAGCAAGCAAUCCGAUUCAACUCCAAACGCACCUACCGAACCCACGAAGGAGGGAGAAUUCCUCAACUUAGGGCACUUUACCCGGUAUAACGGACCUUGGGCACCAUUGGCUGACCAAGAGGAAGUGCAGCAGUUCGAACCUAAUUUCAAACCGGUGAGGAAGCAGCCGAUGCAGCAAGACAGAUCAAGCAAGCAACAUCUGGGACAACACAGAUGGGGAUACGACAAGGGGCAGGGCAGUAGUGCUAGGAAGGCCUAUGGCCUUUCCUUAGCGCAAUGAUUAUAUCUACGUGGAAUAUCAGGGGCUUUAACAAGCCCCUGAAGCAGAAUGGGAUCAGGGAUCUCAUUCUUAAGAAUAAUAUCGACAUUUUUGGUAUUUUGGAAACGAAAGUCAAAACUCAAGCGCUGGUCGAUAAAAUAAUGCAGAACAAGUUCAGUGGUAUGUCGGAAGCCAACAAUUUAUGUCAGCACAGUGGGGGCAGAAUACUCAUCAUUUGGAACCCGUCUAAGGUGCACCUUGAAAUCAGAAGCAUGAUCAAUCAAGCGAUUCACUGUUAUGCUACGUGUAAAAUCACCUCAAUGGAAUUUCACAUCUCAUUUGUGUAUGGAUUAUACUCAAAUUCAGAUAGGAAAUCGCUAUGGCAAUCUAUUGACAAAUAUGGGGAGAAUCUUCGGGAACCAUGGCUAAUCCUUGGUGAUUUCAACUGUGUUCUCAGUCCGGAAGAGAAGAUAGGGGGUAACGAACCUAUCCCAUAUGCCAUAAGGGAUUUUAAUGAUUGCAUGCAAACAAAUGGGAUCUCAGAUCUCCCGUUUAAUGGCUGCCACAUGACCUGGUCCAACUCCGGAACAGAUAACAUCAUUUGGAGCAAACUUGAUAGAGCCAUGGUGAAUCAAUGGUGGUUUCAAACCCCAAAUCAAGCAAAUUUUCAGAGCUCGGUAACUUUUCAACCCUCGGGCGUCCUAUCUGACCACUCCCCAUGCAUCAUCAAUCUCUCCUCAGCGCCUAAGGUACCGAAAAAAGCUUUCAAAUUUUUCAAUAUGUGGGUUCAGCAUCCGAGAUUCAAAGAAAUUGUGCAAGAAAACUGGAACAUGAGGAUCUAUGGUACGGCUCAGUACAGGCUUUGUAAAAAGCUUAAAGUAUUGAAAAAAUCGCUUACUGCCCUCAAUCAGCAAGAGUUCAGUCACAUAUCACAACGGGCAGCAAAGGCGAAGAAAGAGCUUGAAGAUUUCCAAAUUCUUAUGCAAUCAGACCUCAAUAACCGUGAUCUCGCACAAGAAAUAAAAAACAAAACAGCUAGAACUAGAUUCCUUCUGGAAGCCGAAAGGAGUUUUCUGUCCCAAAAAGCAAAAAACAACUACAUCAAGCAUGCCGAUAGAAGCAACAAAGUGUUCUAUGGUGUCAUCAAUAAACGAGCAAAGAGAAAUCACAUUGCAUCUGUUAUUAAAGAGGAUGGUGCAGCUACCACAUCAGAAGAAGAAGUAAUUUCAGAAUUUAUUUACUUCUAUGAGGAACUCCUUGGAUCAGCCGAUCACUGCACUCCCAUUAACAGCGAUAUUAUCAAAUUCGGGCCAAUUCUGAGUGAAGACCAAGGAAGAGAACUUAUCAAACCGAUAUCUGUCCAAGAGAUCCGGUAUGCUCUCCAAGAGAUUGGUGACGACAAAUCCCCGGGGCCGGAUGGAUAUAACUCAUUUUUCUUCAAGAAAGCGUGGUCUACAGUCGGAAGAGAUGUAAUAGAUGCAGUCCGGGAAUUUUUCAGUAGUGGGAGGCUCUUAAAGCAAUUGAACCACACUACGCUUGCUCUUAUCCCUAAAUCCGAUAAUGCUUCUGCCGUUGGUGAUUAUAGACCCAUAGCGUGCUGCAACAUCGUCUAUAAAAUCAUCUCAAAAAUCAUUGCAACAAGGCUGAGCUGUGUUCUUGACCUCCUUGUGGAUAAAGCACAAUCUGCCUUCAUCAAAGGGAGAAACAUCGGGGAUAACAUCCAUCUGGCUGAAGUGCUGCUUAGACAAUACCAAAGAGCCAGAACUGCACCUAAAUGCCUCAUCAAGGUGGACUUAAGAAAAGCCUACGACUCCAUUAAUUGGACUUUUAUUGGCGAUAUGCUGACUGAGCUCCACUUCCCUCCAAUAUUCCGAGCAUGGAUAAUGGAGUGUGUAUCUACAACAGCAUACUCAAUUUCUAUCAAUGGAAGCUCUCAUGGUUUCAUCAAGGGCAAGAAAGGCCUUCGACAAGGGGACCCCCUGUCCCCCUUCCUAUUUGUUCUCUGCCUUGACUAUUUCUCUAGACUCAUCAAGAGUAAAACCAUGAACUCAGAGUUUAAUUUCCACCCAAAAUGCGAUAAAAACAAUAUUACUCAUUUAGCUUUUGCGGAUGAUUUAAUGUUGUUUGCUAGAGGGGACUUGGGCUCGAUUUCAGUGCUUACCGGCUGCCUUAGCAUACUUGGCGAUACUACUGGGCUAAAAAUCAGCAUGCACAAAUCAAAUAUCUAUCUUGCUGGUGUGAAAGAGCAGGAGAAAGCAACCAUCCUUGACCAUCUGCCUAUCGCGCACGGGACUUUCCCUUUCAGAUAUCUGGGCAUACCUCUGGCGGCCUCAAAACUGAAGGUAUUACAGUAUUCCCCUCUGAUCGAAAGGAUAAGGAAACUUAUUGAUAAAUGGAGCGGAGCCACUUUAUCCUAUGGAGGAAAAAUUGAGCUCAUUACUUCAGUAGUGCAAGGGGUGGUGUGCUUUUGGCUCUCAUUGUUUCACAUUCCCUCAGCUGUGGUAUAUUGUAUUCAGAGGCUCUGCAGUAUCUUUCUCUGGGGUUCAAACAAUGCUACCGUCCAAUGGAAUGAGCUGUGCUUCCCCAAAACCGAAGGGGGGUUAGGGUUUCGAAAUCUCAAGGUGUGGAAUAGAGCGCUACUACUAAAAGAGGUUUGGAACAUUCAUUCGAAAAAGGAUACCCUAUGGAUCCAAUGGGUGAACGAGUUCUUCUUCAAAACAGUGGAUAUAUGGGAGUGGCAGCCUAAACAAGAUUCACCACCGCUACUUAAAUCACUCGCUGGGACCAUCAAAAUAUUGGUCACAAAAGCUGGUAAAGAGCUCUCAGUCUGUCAAUCCUUACUAUGUCUGGACCUGGUAAGUUUCCCCGUGUUGAGUCAAAUUAAGCCGCAGGCUCCAAGCAACCAAUACGAUGGUGGUGCAAGAAAAUUUGGAACCAAUGGACCCCUCCGAAGCACUCUUUCACAAUUUGGAUGUGCCUGAACGAUUAUUUGAGAACUCGAGAUAAUUUAAUCAAAAUGCGUAUACAAAUUGCUGCCAUCUGCCCCCUCUGUGGUAUUGAGAAUGAAACGGUGAAACAUUUGUUCUUCUCUUGUACGGUCAGUAAUCAAAUCUGGCAGCCCCUGAAGCUGUGGCUUGGAAUCUCGAACAGGAUGUCGACUAUAGAGAGUGCUUUGAAAAUGCUAAAAAGAAGAGGAAUUCAGAGAAAUCCGCAGAAGAUGGGCAAGUUUAUUGCUCUGGCCUGUACUGUCUACGCCAUUUGGAAAGCUAGGAAUUGCUUGAUUUUUGAGGGAAUUGCUCCUAUACCAUCUGAUAUUAUCAGAAGCAUCCAAUUUCAAGUUUAUAGAACUUUAUACUCCCUCCCCCCUCCUUAUCUCAAUGAACAGUUGUAAUAGUUGGUUUAGCCGUUUAUUGCCUGGGUAUGCCUGGUGUAUGUGUACUUUGUUUGAACUCUAUUAUCUUGCAGGUUACUCAGGGAAUCGUCAUUGUGGUUCAAUGAUUAUGAAGAAUAGCAUCACAGGUAGUGGUAGUACAACUAAAGGUAAGAACAAACAUUAUGAGCAGCUAGGGCCUAGAUGUGGCCCUGGCUUUGGGCUCCCUAAUUCCUUGUAUUAUGAAUGUUGUGAGGGAGACCAGUGUGGGUUUUGGUUUGUGUUGGGGCAGCUAGGGCCUAUAUGUGGCCCUGGCUUUGGGUCCCAGAAUUACUACUACUAUGUUCACUGUGAGGGUGACCUGUGUUGGAUUUGGUUUGAUUUGGGGCAGCUAGGGCCUAUAUGUGGCCUUGGCUUUGGGCCCCCGAAUUACUAUUACUAUGAAUGGAGUGAGGGAGACGAGUGUUGGUUUUGGUUUGUUCGGGGGCAGCUAGGGCCUAUAUGUGGCCCUGGCUUUGGGCCCUCGAUUCACCUUCACUCUCACUAUGAAUACUGUGCAGCAGAU
rnacentral:lncRNA from 1 species